AGAGUUUGAUCCUGGCUCAGGAUGAACGCAAGCGGCAGGCCUAACACAUGCAAGUCGAACGGUAAGGUCCUUUCGGGGAUACACGAGUGGCGCACGGGUGAGUAACGCGUAUGCAACCUACCUUUAACUGGGGCAUAGCUCAGAGAAAUCUGAAUUAAUACCCCAUAAUAUCCUUUUUUCGCAUGUUAAGAGGAUUAAAGCUCCGGCGGUUAUAGAUGGGCAUGCGUAACAUUAGUUUGUUGGUGAGGUAACGGCUCACCAAGACUACGAUGUUUAGGGGGUCUGAGAGGAUGGUCCCCCACACUGGUACUGAGACACGGAUCAGACUCCUACGGGAGGCAGCAGUGAGGAAUAUUGGUCAAUGGACGCAAGUCUGAACCAGCCAUGCCGCGUGCAGGAUGACGGCCCUAUGGGUUGUAAACUGCUUUUAUACAGGAAGAACUCCUCCGAUUCUUCGGAGACUGACUGUACUGUAUGAAUAAGGAUCGGCUAACUCCGUGCCAGCAGCCGCGGUAAUACGGAGGAUCCUAGUGUUAUCCGGAUUAUUGGGUUUAAAGGGUGCGUAGGCGGGAUAAUAAGUCAGUGGUGAAAUCCUGCAGCUUAACUGUAGAACUGCCAUUGAUACUGUUAUUCUUGAGUAUAGUUGAGGUGGGCGGAAUGUGUCAUGUAGCGGUGAAAUGCUUAGAUAUGACACAGAACACCAAUUGCGUAGGCAGCUCGCUAAACUACUACUGACGUUGAGGCACGAAAGCGUGGGGAGCGAACAGGAUUAGAUACCCUGGUAGUCCACGCUGUAAACGAUGAUUACUCGAUGUGUGCGAUACAUUGUACGCGUCUGAGCGAAAGCAUUAAGUAAUCCACCUGGGGAGUACGAUCGCAAGAUUGAAACUCAAAGGAAUUGACGGGGGCCCGCACAAGCGGAGGAACAUGUGGUUUAAUUCGAUGAUACGCGAGGAACCUUACCUGGGCUUAAAUGCAGAAUGACCUUCCGGGAAACCGGAAUUCCCUUCGGGGCAAUUUGCAAGGUGCUGCAUGGUUGUCGUCAGCUCGUGCCGUGAGGUGUCGGGUUAAGUCCCAUAACGAGCGCAACCCUUGUCAUUAGUUGCCAGCGGAUAAUGCCGGGGACUCUAAUGAGACUGCCAGUGUAAACUGCGAGGAAGGUGGGGAUGACGUCAAAUCAGCACGGCCCUUAUGUCCAGGGCUACACACGUGUUACAAUGGCCAUUACAGAGGGCAGCUACAUGGUGACAUGAUGCAAAUCUCGAAAAAUGGUCUCAGUUCGGAUCGAAGUCUGCAAUUCGACUUCGUGAAGAUGGAUUCGCUAGUAAUCGCACAUCAGCAAUGGUGCGGUGAAUUCGUUCCCGGGCCUUGUACACACCGCCCGUCAAGCCAUGGAAGCCGGGGGUGCCUGAAGUCCGUAGCCGUAAGGAGCGGCCUAGGGUAAAACUGGUAACUGGGGCUAAGUCGAAACAAGGUA
rnacentral:rRNA from 1 species